AACGAGACCUUAACCUGCUAAAUAGCCUGGCUGGCUUUCGCCGGUCACCGGCUUCUUAGAGGGACUGUCAGCGUCUAGCUGACGGAAGUUUGAGGCAAUAACAGGUCUGUGAUGCCCUUAGAUGUUCUGGGCCGCACGCGCGCUACACUGACAGAGCCAGCGAGUUCUUUUCCUUGGCCGGAAGGUCAUGGGUAAUCUUGUGAAACUCU
rnacentral:rRNA from 1 species